rnacentral:rRNA from 1 species
UGGGGAAUAUUGGACAAUGGGCGCAAGCCUGAUCCAGCAAUGCCGCGUGAGUGAUGAAGGCCUUAGGGUUGUAAAGCUCUUUCGCACGCGACGAUGAUGACGGUAGCGUGAGAAGAAGCCCCGGCUAACUUCGUGCCAGCAGCCGCGGUAAUACGAAGGGGGCUAGCGUUGUUCGGAAUUACUGGGCGUAAAGGGCGCGUAGGCGGCCUGUUUAGUCAGAAGUGAAAGCCCCGGGCUCAACCUGGGAAUAGCUUUUGAUACUGGCAGGCUUGAGUUCCGGAGAGGAUGGUGGAAUUCCCAGUGUAGAGGUGAAAUUCGUAGAUAUUGGGAAGAACACCGGUGGCGAAGGCGGCCAUCUGGACGGACACUGACGCUGAGGCGCGAAAGCGUGGGGAGCAAACAGAUUAGAUACCCUGGUAGUCCACGCCGUAAACGAUGAAUGCUAGACGUCGGGGUUGCAUGCACUUCGGUGUCGCCGCUAACGCAUUAAGCAUUCCACCUGGGGAGUACGGCCGCAAGGUUAAAACUCAAAGGAAUUGACGGGGUCAUAGCUGUUU